rnacentral:rRNA from 1 species
AUGAACGCUAGCGACAGGCCUAACACAUGCAAGUCAGGGGCAGCACAAGGAGCAAUCUGAGGUGGCGACCGGCGCACGGGUGAGUAACACGUAUGCAACCUGCCUGUAAGCGGGGAAUAACCCGUUGAAAGACGGACUAAUACCGCAUAAUACUAAAUUACUGCAUGGUAAUUUAUUUAAACAUUUUAUGGCUUACAGAUGGGCAUGCGCAUGAUUAGCUAGUUGGAGAGGUAACGGCUCCCCAAGGCAACGAUCAUUAGGGGUUCUGAGAGGAAGGUCCCCCACACUGGUACUGAGACACGGACCAGACUCCUACGGGAGGCAGCAGUGAGGAAUAUUGGUCAAUGGACGAGAGUCUGAACCAGCCAAGUCGCGUGCAGGAAGAAUGUCCUUAAUGGAUUGUAAACUGCUUUUGCAGGGGAAUAAAGUGCAUCACGUGUGAUGUUUUGUAUGUACUCUGCGAAUAAGGAUCGGCUAACUCCGUGCCAGCCGCAGC